AUUAUUGGAAAUGAAAUGUUAUUCGUUUAUAAAGAUAUCUAGUUUUUUUAGAAAUAAAUUUAAUUUAAAAAUUUUUAAUUUUAUUAAUUAAUUAUAUUAAUUAAUAAAUUUAUAAGUUUAAAUAUUUUAAGGGAUAAGCUUUAAAAUAAAUUUUUAUAAAUUAAUAAAUGAUAAUUAAAAUUAUAUGCAUAGAAUUAGUAAUUAUUAAAAAUUUUGUUAUAAAUUAUUUUAUAAAAUAUAUUAUUUAUUAUAGUUUUAAAUUUUUAUAAAAAUAUUUUUUUUAAUUUUGUUUAAAAAGUAAUAAUGAUAAAAUUAGUAUAUAUAUAUUAUGUAAAUAUAAUUUAUUUUGAUAAGUUUAUAUAAAGAACUCGGCAAAUAUUUUACUCGCCUGUUUAACAAAAACAUGUCUUUUUGUGUUAUUUUUAAAGUCUAACCUGCCCAAUGAAUAAAUUUUAAUGGCCGCAGUAUUUUGACUGUGCAAAGGUAGCAUAAUCAUUAGUCUUUUAAUUGAAGGCUUGAAUGAAUGGUUGGACGAAGUAUAAUCUGUUUCAUUUAAAUUUAUUAUAGAAUUUUAUAUUUUAGUAAAAAAGCUAAAAUAUUUUUAAAAGACGAGAAGACCCUAUAAAUCUUUAUAAUUUAUAUUAUUUUUAUUUUUUAUAUUUAUUUUAUUUAAAUAAUUUGAAUUAUUUUGUUGGGGUGAUAUUAAAAUUUAAUAAACUUUUAAUUUAAUUAUUUCAUUAAUUUAUGUUUUAUUGAUCCAUUAAUAAUGAUUAAAAGAAUAAGUUACUUUAGGGAUAACAGCGUAAUUUUUUUGGAGAGUUCUUAUUGAUAAAAAAGUUUGCGACCUCGAUGUUGGAUUAAGAUAUAAUUUUAGGUGUA
rnacentral:rRNA from 1 species